AGCUGGUUCUCUCCGAAAUAGCUUUAGGGCUAGCCUCAAGUGAUGAUUAUUGGAGGUAGAGCACUGUUUGGACGAGGGGCCCCUCUCGGGUUACCGAAUUCAGACAAACUCCGAAUGCCAAUUAAUUUAACUUGGGAGUCAGAACAUGGGUGAUAAGGUCCGUGUUCGAAAGGGAAACAGCCCAGACCACCAGCUAAGGUCCCAAAAUAUAUGUUAAGUGGAAAAGGAUGUGGCGUUGCCCAGACAACUAGGAUGUUGGCUUAGAAGCAGCCAUCAUUUAAAGAGUGCGUAAUAGCUCACUAGUCGAGUGACACUGCGCCGAAAAUGUACCGGGGCUAAACAUAUUACCGAAGCUGUGGAUUGUCCUUUGGACAAUGGUAGGAGAGCGUUCUAAGGGCGUUGAAGCAUGAUCGUAAGGACAUGUGGAGCGCUUAGAAGUGAGAAUGCCGGUGUGAGUAGCGAAAGACGGGUGAGAAUCCCGUCCACCGAUUGACUAAGGUUUCCAGAGGAAGGCUCGUCCGCUCUGGGUUAGUCGGGUCCUAAGCUGAGGCCGACAGGCGUAGGCGAUGGAUAACAGGUUGAUAUUCCUGUACCACCUAUAAUCGUUUUAAUCGAUGGGGGGACGCAGUAGGAUAGGCGAAGCGUGCGAUUGGAUUGCACGUCUAAGCAGUAAGGCUGAGUAUUAGGCAAAUCCGGUACUCAUUAAGGCUGAGCUGUGAUGGGGAGAAGACAUUGUGUCUUCGAGUCGUUGAUUUCACACUGCCGAGAAAAGCCUCUAGAUAGAAAAUAGGUGCCCGUACCGCAAACCGACACAGGUAGUCAAGAUGAGAAUUCUAAGGUGAGCGAGCGAACUCUCGUUAAGGAACUCGGCAAAAUGACCCCGUAACUCGGGAGAAGGGGUGCUCUUUAGGGUUAACGCCCAGAAGAGCCGCAGUGAAUAGGCCCAAGCGACUGUUUAUCAAAAACACAGGUCUCUGCUAAACCGUAAGGUGAUGUAUAGGGGCUGACGCCUGCCCGGUGCUGGAAGGUUAAGAGGAGUGGUUAGCUUCUGCGAAGCUACGAAUCGAAGCCCCAGUAAACGGCGGCCGUAACUAUAACGGUCCUAAGGUAGCGAAAUUCCUUGUCGGGUAAGUUCCGACCCGCACGAAAGGCGUAACGAUUUGGGCACUGUCUCAACGAGAGACUCGGUGAAAUCAUAGUACCUGUGAAGAUGCAGGUUACCCGCGACAGGACGGAAAGACCCCGUGGAGCUUUACUGUAGCCUGAUAUUGAAAUUCGGCACAGCUUGUACAGGAUAGGUAGGAGCCUUUGAAACGUGAGCGCUAGCUUACGUGGAGGCGCUGGUGGGAUACUACCCUAGCUGUGUUGGCUUUCUAACCCGCACCACUUAUCGUGGUGGGAGACAGUGUCAGGCGGGCAGUUUGACUGGGGCGGUCGCCUCCUAAAAGGUAACGGAGGCGCUCAAAGGUUCCCUCAGAAUGGUUGGAAAUCAUUCAUAGAGUGUAAAGGCAUAAGGGAGCUUGACUGCGAGACCUACAAGUCGAGCAGGGUCGAAAGACGGACUUAGUGAUCCGGUGGUUCCGCAUGGAAGGGCCAUCGCUCAACGGAUAAAAGCUACCCCGGGGAUAACAGGCUUAUCUCCCCCAAGAGUUCACAUCGACGGGGAGGUUUGGCACCUCGAUGUCGGCUCAUCGCAUCCUGGGGCUGUAGUCGGUCCCAAGGGUUGGGCUGUUCGCCCAUUAAAGCGGUACGCGAGCUGGGUUCAGAACGUCGUGAGACAGUUCGGUCCCUAUCCGUCGUGGGCGUAGGAAAUUUGAGAGGAGCUGUCCUUAGUACGAGAGGACCGGGAUGGACAUACCUCUGGUGUACCAGUUGUCGUGCCAACGGCAUAGCUGGGUAGCUAUGUGUGGACGGGAUAAGUGCUGAAAGCAUCUAAGCAUGAAGCCCCCCUCAAGAUGAGAUUUCCCAACUUCGGUUAUAAGAUCCCUCAAAGAUGAUGAGGUUAAUAGGUUCGAGGUGGAAGCAUGGUGACAUGUGGAGCUGACGAAUACUAAUCGAUCGAAGACUUAAUCAAAA
rnacentral:rRNA from 1 species